UUCUUCUUAUAAUAAGUAAAACAAAAACAAAUGCACCACUUUUUGUGAUAGAGGGCAUUUUACAAAGUGAGUGGGUGGCCUACACAAAACGAACCUGUCUUCAGAGGUUCAGUGUGUCCUAUUUGAUUUCUAUAGCACCUUACACAGCCAAUUGGCACUAAACAUGUUCACAAGCUCUGAGUGUCUUGUUUCUAUGAAGUUACGUCCAGACUUGUGUCUAUCAUGUGGAGGCAAGUACCACAGACUAGCCCUUUGAUCUUGGUAGAGACAAAACCUCUUUGGGCUUCAGUUUCUUUGUUUGUCAAAUAAGUGCUGUACAAUUAUCACAUAGACGGGUGUUUUGGAGACAGCACAUGAAACUUUUUCAAAGUGAAAAGAGCUAUGUAAAUUUAGGGUUACAUUUUGGUUUAAUUUCAGUAGUUACCAUGUGACCUUGUGACUUGUUCUACCUGAGCCUUUGUCACCAGUAACUUGGGGAAAAAUAAUAGCUACCUCAAAGAUUUGUGAGGAUUAAAAAAGACACUCUUAAACUGUGAACUCUGAAAAAUGAGGUUUUUAUUGCUUAUUGACUAUAUACAGAAAGUUUAAUUUUGAGUGAUUUAUUCCUUUAACUACAUCUUGAAAACCAGAUCAACCUCAAAUUCCCUUCAAAACUUGAAAAUUUUCUUGUGAAACCUGACUUACUUGCAUUAAACUGAAGGGAGGAUGUGAGGUUUGAAUGCUAUAAAGGAAAUGCUGUAUAGAACUUUGGGGCAUUUUAGUACUGAGCAAGGCUACUCUCAACAGGGCAUUAGAUAUCCACAGUGGAGCGUCAUACAUUAACUCCACACGGCAACUCAACACUCAGUGUGUGCCCACACGGACAAGAUAGGGGGAGGCGAGGCAGAGAGAAUUCGCAAUUGUUCCGGUGAAAAUUAAUCCAGUGGAAAAACACAUUGCUUUUCCAUUUUGUCAACUUUUGUGUCUCACAUCCACGUGCAUUUUGAGAUCAUGUAGUUUUUGUCCAAACACUUUCACUGGCACAUAAUUUUUUCUGAGUUCCUCUGGAAGCGUUUACUUCCCAUCCACGCUGCCUCAGUCUUUCACGAUGUGCAGCUGCUCCCUGGGUGUGAGGAUCUGGGGCCGGCACUGCACAGCUCACCGAGAGGACGCAGGCAGCUCAGAGGCAGAUGUGGUUGUGCUCCUGGCACGUGGUGCUCACACCGGCCACAGACAGGUACAGCUUCCCAUCUGGACACACACAGAUUUCGUAGAGGCUCUGUGAGCUGCCAGAGGGACCCCACGUCCCCUGCACCAGCUUGGGUAAGCACACAGUUUCAGCAUCAAGCACAAGCUGGUUGGGAGAAGAUGAGAGACGAAGAGUUAAGGAAGGGCCACCCUGGUCAGCAGCAAAUCCCCAUUCUCACAAGAUUUCCAAUUAGUUUCUUCUCCUCAUAGAAAACAAAAUAGGCACCUGACUUUAUGUAACUCAUUUCGUAAUUAUCCGAUUCUUUUAAAGCCCAGUUCUAUUUUACAUGCAGGCUGGGACUUCACAAUUCCUUCCACAUUGGAGGGAGGCGCUUUUCCGGUUUGUCAUUGUUUGAGUGCAGCUGAGAAAUGUGGCCCCAUUGUGAAAACAUGUUUCACCUUUACAGUUUGUUUUUGUUUCAAUAAACUGGGUUGCUUUUCAGUUUUGUGAUGCUAUGCUUCUCAAAACGCCUUUCAGAAUUAUUUGUCAAACAUAUUAGAAUUCUCCCGAUUCACAUUUAUCUUGUGACUCACUUUGACUUUAUGUAAAUCCUCUCCUCCCCAUUAGGAUAAAGUACAAUCCAUUAGAAUAGAUUCAUCUUAAUAAUUUUUACCCAUGAAUGAUGAAGUUUAUCCUGAUUUUAUUCCUGAUUUUGUUUUCCUAUGAGAGGCAAUUAAAUUCAUCCUAUUAGCUGGCAACCAUUUCCCUAAUUUUUAUAUAUUAUUUGAAACUGCACAGCCUCCUAUUAGAUGCUGAAAAGCAGUAGACACGCAGACUAAGCCAAUUAAAAUGAAAUGAAAACUACUGGAUAUUCUGGUCAUAUGAUAAUUUAGUUAAACUGAAGUGCAAACAAAGAGCCGUAGAUUGAGGCUUGGAAAUCUUUUUGAUAAGGAAAUAAAAAUCGUCACAUCCAGCAGCCAAACGUUGCCCACUCCAGGGCACUCACUUGUUACAAGGAAUUAAACUGAAUGUGGGUAGGCAUAAUUCUGUCCUUGCCAAGGAGAGCUCCUUCCUUUAUGUUAUGUGGCUCUUAUCCUUGCCUUCCAAUCUAUUAACAACCUGCUGUCUGCUGCACGCAUUCGCCGGUGUGCACCUGCCAGGUGAGGCUUGAUCACACGACCCCACAGCAUUGCAGGCAGCUCUGUGCCGUGCAUGGUCUGGUGCAGUCACGGUCAAAGAAGUCAAAUAGCUGUUAAUAUGUUUUUCAAGUAGAAUCUUUAGGUUAUUAUCUAACGCCUCAUUCUUGAUUUUUAUUUCUGCAUUUCUCUGCUCCUGACAUCACAACUUCAUAGGUUAUGACCUGCAGUGGCUUCCCCUGAAGACCUGUGUUCCACUAGCAGGCUGUCAUCUGAUGGGUCCUGCCCACACACUCUGGUGCUGUUCUCGCAGCUGGCUUGAUGAUGGCACCAUAUCCACCUACACCUUUACUACACGUUCCUAUUAAUAUCACAGUAAUGUAGUUUCAAAAUGUUGGCACCCAUAUUCCUACAGUAGUGUCUCAAAACCCUAUGACAUAAUUAAGCAAAUAUUAUAUUCCCUAUUUGCUGAGACAGGCCUAGAGAGGGCCGGAUAAGAGUCCUGAAUUCAAACAGGUAAUGAGGGAAUUUGAUCUAGCACUAGGACUCAGGCUUCCUGACUUCCAGGUGAAUCCUCUGCCCGCGGCACCACGUUACACCUGUUGGCGGGGGGGGGGGGGGGGGGAGGUGGAUGGGUGGGGGGCGGUCUGUGCAUCGCCGCAGGUGCGAUGAUAGGGCCUGGGCUGGGGAGGAGCUUGGAAACCCAUGUGCCUUCUUGUUGUACUAACAGCGUCCAUGGAUGUUUAUCCCAGCACAUUCACCCGGUGUAUGGAGAUGCACCUGACUGCAAUAACUCAGGCAAUCCCUGAGAAUGACUCUAUGAUCCAAGAAGAAUGUGUGUUCAGCCUUCUGAGCUAAGGAGUCUGGGAGUGGCAAACCCUGAGAUUCAGUCCACAUCUGUGAAGGACAUCGGAGCGCCUGGCCCAUCCCUUGCAACACAGGCCAUAUGGGGGAUCGAGGCCCUUUGUUUUGGGUUAAAUGGAAGUUGUUGCUAAGUGAAAAUGCUGUAUAACCUGCAUGCUUUUUAAAAAUGGGAGCAGUUUUCCAGUCCAGCUCGCUGCUACUGGACCGCCCUGUCUGUUAAGUCCUCAAUAAA
rnacentral:lncRNA from 1 species